GAAACGUUCAUUUCAUUUCGGAUUGUCUUUGAGUAAAGAUGUAUAAUUUAUUUGCGCUUAAUAAGUUAUAUAAAUUUGAAGAGAGUAAAAGUGGUUAUGGUUGAGUUACAAUGGAAUUUUUGACAAGUUCAUUGUUCCGAACAUGAAUUAUAUGAAGACGUGAAGUUUUUGAACUAUCUGUAUUUUCCUGUCCACAAAAGGUCUUGCUAACCACGUGGAAUUCAGUGUGAUAUAAGCAGUGAUUAAAUGCCAAGGAAUUUACGAAUGGCUGUUUUGGUGUUUGGAGAGUAGCACUAUAUCCGGCAUUCCACGAGGUGUUUGUGGAAAUUAAAAACAAUGUAAUGUGGCAAAUAUUAAUAAAGAAUGAAUUGAUUUUAAACAAGUGUUUUUAUU